AUGCUAUCAACUCCUCCAUGUUAACACAAUUUCUUACAGAAAUCUCUUCCAGAUUUUGAAGGUUUGACAUCAAGCUCUGAGGGAACAGCUUCUUCAUACUUGGACAAUCCCAUAUUUUAAAUUCUUUGAGAAGGGAAAAGGUACCAUACGGCAGUGAUAAUGGUCCUGUUAAUGGAAUGUCCCCGUUGAACUUCCUCCCUCCUUCACCAAACAGGAAAUAUAGAUCCUUCAAAUUGCGAAUUUGUAUAAUCUCAAGGGUUUUAAACACAGAAGGGGGGGAGGACAAUGAAAACAAAUGCUCUAGACCCUCACAAUCUUCAAUUUCAAAGUACUCCGGUUCAAUUGCAUAUCGGAAGCAUAAGCCGCCGCUUUCAAUGUUGCAUCCAUCAAAGAUCAGAGAUUUCACUUCUCUUGGGAGAGAUAGGGCAUUGCCCCCUUCGCUGAUACUGCAAUUAUUAAAAUAAACCCCAAAAUCAUUUACUUCGACGUAUUCGCUUUCCAUGUCUUCGCUUUGUGGUACAAGAAGUCUAUAUCGCGUUUGACUGGUUGAAGGUUUACAAGUCAUGAAGGUGUUCAACUCACCAACACCGUGGAAACGGCAUUCCAAUUCUUCCAACUUUCUCAGCGAUGCUACUUCCUUUCCUUCAACUGUGAAAGAAAAGCCAAGGCGGAGGAAUCGCAAUUGGGAAAGCUUUGGUAAUAUCCCUGGUUGCAACUCCUCUAUGUUUGUGCCACAAAGAUCCAAAUACCUGAGAUUGGACAACAAUUUUAUUCCUUUAGGCACUUUUUCCACUCCAGAACCAUAGAGAUCCAACUUCUUCAAUGCACUAAGUUGGGCUAAUGAUGGUAAGCAACGUAGCCCCAGACAUUCUCUGAGCAAUAAUGCACUUAGAUUCACCAAAUAUGAGAUGGAACCCGGCAAUUCUUCAAUACCUGUUUGUGAAAGAUCAAGCACCUUGAGCCCAUGCAAUUGCUCGAAGAAAGAAUAUUCAAUAAAUCUUAACCUGAAAUUUUCACACAACAACAGUGUUGAAAGGUUGGGAAAAGCAGGUGAAUAACCAAAAGAAAUUUCCGGUAUGCGAUUGCACAUUAGAGAAAUUCUCACAAGAUUCUUUGGCCAAUUCCUCAAAUCCGGCAUUUCAGCUAACUCUUUACCCGCUUUAACAACUACUCGUGGAUCGACUUCCAUUAUUUGGAUGGCCAUAUCCCUAACCAAGUCAUGCAUCUUCACAAAAUAUGAAUCUUCUUCCAAUAAGCAAACCCUUACAAGUCUGUUGAGCAUGGUAUGGCCCUCAUCCAAUUUUGCUUGCCUGCUUUCUCCUCUUAUUACUCCUUCAUCAAUCAAAUACUCUAUUACAUUGUCCCUAGCUAUAGGAUGAUCUUCUGGAUAUAAUCCACAAUAUAAGAAGCAUUGUUGCAAUGAUGAAUUAUUCAAGCGAUUAUAACUGAAUUUCAAUGCUUGGAAAACCUCAUUUUCCAUUUCACCUUCUCUAACUUUUGAUUCUUGCAAUUUUCUUAAUGCAUUCCUCCACUCACAAAUAUCAUCCGCUCCCCUCAUGCUUGCAGCUAUUGUUAUAAUUCCAAGAGGCAAACCAGCACAUUCGCUUGCAAUAGAUUUUGCAAUCUCCAUAACAUCUAGGGAUAGUGGUUUUCCUAGCUUAUCCUGGAACAAUUGCCAAGCUUCAAAUUCGGGCAGAGACUUCACUUUUAUUGUUUCCUGGCAUUCCAUCUGUCGACAAACAUCUAACAUACGAGUUGUAAGAAUCAACUUGCAUCCUUUCUCUCGAGCAAGUAUUCCCACUUCCUUUAGAGGAAAAUAGUUCCAUAAAUCAUCCAGAAUGAGAACAAAUUCUUGUUUCUCACUCAAUGCUUUUGACAACUUUGCUGCUCUUUUCUUCAAAUCAUCUUCGUUGGAAAGAUCAAAACCAAUAGUUUUGGCAAUAGAAUUCUGCAAUUUAUAAAUGCUAAGGUCUUGCGAUACAGUAACCCAAUAAACAUUUUCCUGCCUUUGGAGUAGCACGUUAUGAAUAUGUGCUACCAGCGUGGUUUUACCCACUCCUCCCAUUCCCCAAAUGCCAAUGACAGAGACAUCAUCCAUCAUUAAAAAUUCCUGAAUCUUGUCAAAAUUUUCUUGAAAUUCUUGACCCACUAGUUCUGGGGCAAACAAUGCAUCUCCCCUACACUCUUGCACAUCAAGUAGAAGCCCUCCAAGAAACUUAACUCUUUGAUCAAUAAGAUCUUCAACAUUUUCCGUCUUUUUCUCUAUAAGCUUUCCUAACUGUAUCCUCCGAAGACCUGGUCCUGCUUCUAGUUCCAUGGUUCCGAUGUCAUUUUUCAGCCUUCGUACAUUAUUCAGCCAAUUUUGAACUUCAUUCUUCCGUUUCUUGCUACUCCUGGACUCUGCGCCUUCUAGUUCUUUAAUUACAUCAAUUUCCAUGCUUUCUAGUCGUUCCAACUUUCUUUUGAGAGCUUGCUUUUUUUCCUCAAAGUUUAAAUUAUAAUCCGCUGUCGAAAUUAUGGCUUGUCCCAGCAGAUCCAUCCUGAAUUAAUUAAUUGGUGAAUAUGUAGAUCAGAAGCAGCUGAGCCAAUUAUCAGAACACCUCUGUGAGGAAGAAGAGAUAUCCAGAGAGAUUAAAGUCAAUGUAUUAUUCCGAUUAGCGUCCUUCGAAGUUAUUGAGAAAGCGCGUCUUGCUUUCUUUCUUUCUUCCUUAAGAUUCCUGGGUUUUUUCUUUGAUUUUGUUGCAUCGGUUUAUCUUUCCUUCUUUUCUUUUUUAGCACAUCUACUUAGUUUACUAGCGCUUCUUUCUGUAACUAUGAAGUUUCUUUGAAUCUAAGUGUUGCUUCCUUUGUAUUUUUUGCAAAUAUAGAUCUCGGGAUCCUCGCGUGCGACUUUGAAUGUGCUUUUAUGGUCCUUCUUGUGCUCCAUUCGUGAAACAAUGCGUCUAUUGGAGCUUUGCCUAGCUUCUCCGAGCAAAUAUUUUCAUGUUCACAAUGCGACUCCAUUUUAAAGUGCUUUUAUUUGUUUUAUGUACCUUUCCAUAUUCGUUCGAGAUUUAGAGACAAUAUCCUGUGGAGAAGGAUCCUUCGUUACUGCUUGCAGAGUGCAUUUCGUCAAAGUUUGCCCUUGGACUGAACUGUAAAGAAGAUAAGAGGCAUCUAAAUAUUGUGAUUAAUUGAAAACGGGGUCCAGAUUUGAUCAAGAGUUAAGACGGACUGUUGAGUAUAGUAAAUGCAUGGAUCGAAGGGAUGCUAUGGCGAUAUCGGGUUCUGCUUCGUUCUAUAUGCAGAGAGGGAUGGGUGGGUCUGGAGCACAGUCUGGUUUAAAUGUAUCAUCGGGCAUCAAUCCUUUAACUAGUUCAACCGUAUCAUUUCAAUCUCAUGUUGGAGCCAAUAUGAUGGGAUCUACAUUACCUAUAGAAACUUCAACAGCAAUUCCACCUCAUGGUGUUAGUGUGGGUGCACCAUCUGCGAUGCCACCAUCUGGUGAGCCUGUGAAAAGGAAAAGGGGAAGACCCCGAAAAUAUGGGCCAGAUGGUACUGUUUCACUGGCUUUAUCUCCUCCAUUGUCUACACAUCCUGGUACAAUAACCCCAACACAGAAGCGGGGUAGAGGGCGGCCACCAGGGAGUGGGAGGAAGCAACAAUUAGCUUCCCUUGGUGAAUGGCUAUCUGGUUCAGCAGGGAUGGGCUUUACUCCACAUAUCAUCACCAUUGCAGUAGGAGAAGACAUCGCAACAAAAUUAAUGUCUUUCUCACAGCAAGGACCAAGAGCUAUAUGCAUUUUGUCAGCAAAUGGCGCUGUCUCUACAGUGACUCUCCGUCAGCCAUCAACUUCUGGAGGUGCUGUAACAUAUGAGGUUUGAGCACUUGAUUUUUUCUCCCUUUAUCUUGGGUAUUUGUCAGUCAAUGGAUGUUUUUAACAUUAUUGGGUUUAUCCUUUGGAAAUCAAAAUGAUGAGUGAUAUUGUGAAAACUGCUAUGAUGUGUAAUCUUAUGUCUGUAGGGUUUACUCCACAGAUAUGCACAAAUUCUCAGAAUUAACAUUUAUCUUGUGUCUGAAUCAUAUGCUGUGCGAAUUAACCAAUCUACUUUUUUCCUUAAUUGUUGAAGUGACUGGCUUGUCCCCCAUUUCACAGAUAACGACAGGCAUGCUGACCCACACAAAUGCUUUUCCUUUAUUAUUAUUAUUUUUUUUCAUAAAACUAUCCUCCUGAUCUAUUCAAUGAGACGUUGGAAAUUAGCUAGCAGAUUUUAGGCCAGCCUUGCCUUUAAAUAUUCAACUUUUCUUUUCUGGCUUUUGUCCACGUCUCAUCAGUUGAAAUCUAAAAUAUUUUGGUUUGUGUAGGGGCGCUUCGAGAUUUUAUGUCUGUCAGGCUCUUACUUGGUCACUAACAAUGCUGGCUCCCGUAAUCGAACUGGUGGGCUGAGUGUCUCUCUUGCUAGUCCUGAUGGCCGGGUUAUUGGUGGAGGAGUUGGGGGGAUGCUUAUUGCUGCAAGCCCUGUACAGGUAACUUUUCACUUUUAUCACCCUGUAGGGUUUUAUGUGCUUUUACAUUUGCAAUUGUUCUCUCUUUGAGUCACUUAUAAAAGUCCAUUGAUAAUAAGGCCAACAAGUAAAUCUAAUUUUCUUGUUAGAUGAGUAUUAAGAUGAUGUGUGUUGGUAUAUCAGUGGGCAAGAGGUUCCUUGUGUAAACCUAAAAAUUUUAACUAUUUGGCUUUACUCUUCUAGUUGCAUAUUUAAUUUCAAAUCACAGUAGAAUUAGAGAUGGUUCAAUUUUCUUCCAUAUUAAUGCAUUGCCUCAGGUGAUAGUGGGAAGUUUCUUAUGGGGUGGUUCGAAGACAAAGAACAAGAAAGGGGAAGGUCCAGAAGGUGGCAGAGACUUGGACCAUCAGACAGUUGAGAAUCCAGUAACUCCAACCAGUGUUCCACCUAGUCAGAAUCUUCCUCCAACCUCUGCAGUUGGUUUAUGGCCUGGUUCACAGCCUGUGGAUUUGCGUAACACGCAUGUUGACAUUGAUUUGAUGCGUGGAUGAUAAAUUCUGUCGAUUGUUUCAUGGGUAAUGUACAUAUUCUGCUGUUUUCAGCACCACUUGAAUCUCAUCUCCUGAAGUUCAGUGAUGAGGAUUGAAGUCAGCUGAUUCUCAGCGUGAAUGUCUCACUUCAUUUAACAUCGACAGACUAUGGAUUGUACUCAUUUUGCAGCUUGAUGACAAUUAGUUCAGAAUUUUAGUGGUCGUGUAUUUAACUCAUCAAUUUUUCAGAGGAGGAUGUUCAAUGACAAUUUAAAAAUCGUUAGUGGGCAGCAAUGGUUGCUUCCAAUCUUCUUUCCCAAAAUUUAUGAUGUUUAGGUGCUCUGAAUGGUCAUUGAAAGGGAGAUUUAAAAUUGCAAAUUUUGUAAUACUCAAGCUAAGAGAUUGAGUUUGGAAGGGGUUUUGCCGUGAAAGGUAAGAUUUUUAGCCAAAGCUACGUGGCUUAGAUUAAUUUGCUGGCUGUUUGAGAUCCUAUUAUGUCAAGCAAUAGGGACAUUACUGUACUUCAGAAACAGACAUGCUGUUAGGGUUCAGCUAAUCAUAAUUUGAAUUUACUUCAUAUUGCACUUUUGGUUUGUUGUUUCAGAAUUCAUGCCACUGUAAAUUGACAAAC
rnacentral:misc_RNA from 1 species